ensembl:lncRNA
UGGAGAGGUCUUUAAAAGCUAAGUAGAAAAAGCAUUUCAAGACAGCCAUAGCUGUUUCUGGAUGCUUAUCAAGGAACUUUUACUUGGAAGUGCUUAGCAACUCUGUAUUUAUCUGAAAUGAAGUUCAAUGAGAAAUGCACUGUUCUGCAAGCUGAAAACAACAUCCAAGUUAAAGAACAAAGUGAAAUUCUUCCCCGCAGGUGCUGAGCAUCCCCAGCUUCACCAUCUCCCCAGCUUCAAUGGGAUCUUGGGGGGCGAAGCAGCCCCCUGGGGUAAUUGAACACCUUCCUAGAUUAAUCCCUAUAGUAAUCCAUUGCAGCAUGUACCACAGUCACGCUGCCCUCCUCCUGCACUCAGUUCUCUGCAGGUGAACUAGAGACAGGGACUGAAUGAGCAUCGCAGACCUGUCUGCUUUUCUGCAUUUAUUACCUGACCCCUUUUGAGUCACAUUCAUUUAAGGGUUUGGUACGAGGCUAGGAAAACGAUGAUAUCUGCUGUGUGGCAAGAUGACAUUUGUCAUCACCACACUGUCCUGCUGCUCAUGGUCUGCUCCUUUGCUAGGGUGCACUAAAUCCAUGCAUUUAGAUUGUGAGCUUUUCUGCUGAGGCCGUUUUUCUGUUUGCACUGCAUUUAUCUCAAUGGCUUUUGACAUCGGGGGUUACUCAGGCACCACCACAACAAAGCAAUAACAAACUGCACUUACUCUCGCAGCACAAGGCAGAGCGAAGCUCUGUGUAAGCCCAGCUGAGGCUUUUGAAACAGCAGCGGGGAAGGCUGCUGCGUGCUGCUGCCUGCUUCCCACGCCUCGCCUCCCCUCCUGCCCUCCCCGGCCGUUUGCAGGCAGGGGCUCUGUACUCAGAGGGAAAACACGGGCCCCCUGAUUUUUCUGGUUUUCUUAUCACAGAUACCGCUUGGUUUGUAGGACUCGAGCGUUGUUCUCACAUCCCUAGGGAGGAAUUUACAUCGCCGUUUCUCAGCAGCCGUUCCGAUGACGAGUCCCUGUCCCAACGGCUGCAACUGGCAGGGAGGGCAAUCCAUUGUGCAGCCUUCGAAAUUUGGCAUCAAGCUUCUGCUGGCUCCCAACCGCCUGCAAAGCAGCCCCAGCUCAUUCAUAUAUCCAUGUCAGGCAGACAAAGCGCAGGGCUGAAUUGGCAAGAAACCCCGAGCUCUGCGCCUGUUGACAGAUCGAGAAGCACCAGCAGCCUGCGCUCCGAGGAGCUGGCAAACGAGCGGAGGCAGACUGACACGGAGACAUGAGAAAGAGCAGCCCCAUCCCCUCCUCCAGGCUUCAGAACAAAGAUGCUUGCGUGAUCACCAAGAGGAGAGCUCUCACACAGUGGCCUGGAUGUUGUGCAGAUAAACAAGCCUCAGACAGAAAAGGCGAGUAUUGUGCUUUUUUCGUCCCACACUACCCGAGAAGGCAACACGCGGGCUGUGCCAAGAGAUCAGUCACACGACCUGCUCUGCACAGUGCUGGAUAACGGUGGUCACAGAUGGUCAAAUCUGAAGACUAGGGCAAAAGGGUCAGAGGGACAGGACAGGAGAGGAAAAUGGACCAAGUCAUGAACCUCAACCACUUUGGAGUAACUUUCCAUCUCCCUGAGUAAGGCAGAUUUACCCUAAAGGGAAGGAAAAUUAAAAAGGAGAAAGAAAAAAGGCAAAUCAAGUAGUG